GCUUUGUGAAUGGCUCUCUUUGUGAGAAGCUCCAAGGAGAAGCUCCUGGCAAGGACCAGUGUGUAACAGAAUCUGCAGCCAUGGCUCCUGGGGCUCUUCUUUAGAUCAGAUCCUACCUUUUCACAAGGCCACCUCUGAUGUGUCUCCCGGAGCUCAUUGCUGAGCAACACGUUUUUCUGUAGCUACAAUUGUUUCACCUCCCCAUAAUGCACGCUACAGUCUGCAUGAUGACAUAAUCACAGAGGAAACUUGUGGAUUAUCAUUAAUAUACAAAGACAGGAAAGUAAAGUCUUUCAUGAAACAUAAGUACUGCUCCUGUGAGCUACAGUGUGCAUGACGCAUAUGAGAUAAACAG